GCCCGCUCCCACAAUCCAUCGCCACCCACCCAUGACUCCCUCACCCUGGCUAGGGUUCCUAGCCCCUCCUCCUCAGCCGCCGCUGCAUGUUCCUCGCUGGCCUCGCCCGGGCGCCUCCCGGACCUCGCCGGGAGAAGCCAGCCAGCGCCGUUCCGACCUCCUCCUUAAGCCCUCGCCCCCAUCCUCCUACUCAAGACGUCACCGUCGCCUCCCUCGCCCGCGGCCCUGAUGACCGAUCUGGCGGUGGCGCCGCAGAUCACCCUCUGGUCCAUGGCCUCGACGGCGACGACGUAGCCCGCGCCCGCGUUCUUCCUCCCCCAUCUCAUCUCCUCUCCGGUCGCUGCAGAGGAGCCCCGUUUCGCGCCACCACCAUGGUUGCCUGCAGAGAGCAGCAGAGGACCUAGCCCUCGCGUCCGACCGCAACCGCCGCCUGAAACCCUAGCCCCUCCUUCCAACUGCAGGUCAAGCCAGCAGGAUCCCCUCCAAGAAGAGCAUUUGAUGCGCCCGACUCAUCUCUGCUUGUGCACAACAAGGAAGGCCAUGGACCGCGAACCUGCUCGACCUGCUCGAUCUCCUCCUCACGCCGCCUCGGCCUCCCGGCCCUUGUCGCCGUUGGUCGCCCUCCACGGGUUCUGACGUGCCGUCGCCAACCGCCAGAGAUGCCACCUCCUCAACGCACGAUAUAACCACAUUUACGUGCAAUAUGCAACAGCUGUUUUCUCUGCUUCAGUAUUUUUGUGUCUCUGGCAAAGUUAAUCAUCGUAUUCAUGUCAUUUAUUUAGGAGGGAUCCCAAUUACUGACUGCAUCAGGCGACCAAUCCGUAAAGAUAUGGAGCGUGGAGAAUAAGAAAUGCCUUGGUGUGCUGUCAGGGCACACUAGAAGUGUGAAGUCACUGACAUGCCAUUCUUCAAAUCCUGGUUAUUGUUUAUGCAGAUCUUAUUAUUUCUGGUUCAAGAGAUGGUUCUUUUCCACUUUGGGAUCUAAGAUGUGACCCCCAAACCCCAAAUGGUCAUGGUGAAGCAUGACUCAUGUAUGUUAUCUAAUGGCUACUGCAAUCUAAAUGCUCCUUUUAAUUGCAAUCAUCAAAUAUUCGUAACAAUAUAGCAUCUUUAACUGAAUUCGUAGCAAUAUAGCAUCUUUACAUGUUAGAUCUUCUGGUUUUGUCAAAGAAGAGCACAGUCCCACUCGAAGGAAUCGGAUAAGGUCUUGAGCAAAGGGAGCUUCGACGAGCAUCACAUCAGUUCUGUAUCUGAAAGAUGACCUCUCCAUUGCUACUUCUGGAGUGCGAGCUGUUGGUGUUUGUCAUGUUAGGAAGAUGGGUGUAUAACUCGUGGAUCUUGGGGACAAGCGGAUGGAUCUUGGGUCUUGGGGACAAGCGGAUGGUGUUCGUCGUGUUAGGAAGAUGGGUGUAUAACUCGUGGAGUGCGAGCUGUUGCGUGGCGACACUCGACUGCAUUCGUUGAUCUGACUGUCUGUCAUCGUGCAGGUGUCGAAUUGUUGAUGGAGGCUUCAGGUCGUCCUUCUCAAGGAGAUGAGGCUGGCCAUUAAGGAUCUGGGGUGAAGGUCAUGUCAUCUCUUCUCGUGGCUCUACUGCCCACUGCUUCCACUGCUGAUAUUUUGAGCUCUUUGAUCAGAGCAAGCACCAUGGGAAGGAAAGAUGUUGGGGGCGUGAACUGUCCCGACAACGACAUUGUUGCCUGCUGACUAUGUGCAGGACUACCUGGCUCGACCUCUAUCUCAAUGUCAGAAAAUUAGGAACCUGAAGGGAAAAUGGAAGGCGCCUUUGAUGGACAUUCAGCCCGGAGUACAAGGAUGAUCCCUACAUCUAUACUUCUGAUAUGCUGAAGCACAUUGGCAUUGAGCUAAGGCAGAUGUAGGGCAGCGGUGGCGGGUGCAUAUGUAGGGAAGCAGCAGCGGGUAAAACCGUCUUAGGGAGAUCCUCUUCUCAUAUCAUGCCCAGUUGUUACUCCUCCAUUCGCUCGCCUCUCACCAUAUGUUGUACAAUAGUGCGGUGGUGGCGGGUACAGGCGCAGCGCGAUGACCUGUGGGCGCACCAGCUCUAGGAUGACCAGGGGCUUGGUAGUUGGGUCCGACAUCCCUGUGGUGGACAGAGAUGAUGGCGUAUGGAAGUGUCCGGUGGUGGGCAGGGAACAAUGUGGCCCUUUCGUCGUCCUCUUCGUUCAGCUUGACAUGACCGUCGUUCAGCUGAAGACAAGAUUACAUGGGGACGAUUAAAACUGGGGCAUGAAUGCACAAUACAUAUGUGAUGUGAUUUUUCUAAAUGGAAUUAAUUUUGUAUAGCUUGCAUCCCUUUCUUCUGUUAGUAAUUUGUAAAUAACAUGAAUCCAGUUUUAUACAUAAGCAAGUGGUAGCCAAGUGGUCUGGUUAUACAUUUGUGAAGAACCUGCUUGAAUGCAUAUGGCCUGGAUGCCUAGGUGUACUUCACCCUAACUUCACCACAAAUCUGGAGAACUCACGUACCCAAAUUUCCAUCAUGCCAUGAAUGUUAGAUGCCUAUAAUGCUUUGGGAGCUGGGCGGAUAUGUGUUUCAUGAUUUGUUUUUUUUUCUGGAAGGAAGAUCUUGUAAGUUAUUCUGUCUUUCAACCUGUGCGUAGCAUUUUGAUGUAAGUGGUCUGGUUCUCUCAAUCUAUGUGUAGCGCGUUGUGUUUGUACUUCAAGCUGGCAGAGUAUAGAUCACUUUCAUGGUCCAAAUUACUAGCAUCAAUCGAAUCAUGGACACAAGAUUUCAGUACCCUGUAAUAAUCUCUUAGGUGACUUUUGGACAAGUACACGCCCAGAUUUUUGGGAUUAAUAACACUGCUGAGUUAAUAUGAUAGUAUUGACAUUUUUGGUACCUGUCUAAGUUUCUGGAAGAUUAGUCUGCUUUUAAAAAUAUAUGAUAUCGCAUACAAAAUUGUUUACUCUUGUUUAGGGAAGCAGGGAUAUAUAAUACACACAUCAUAUUUAAGAACUAUGCUUUGCUCAGGUCUCUUGAUAUUUUCUAAACACAAAAAUUAAUUGCUCGGCACCGAGCACGAUAGUAUAUAAUAAGGUAGGCAAGUUUCUUAUCAGUCUAUCAGUCAUUUGCAAAUCUGGACAUGAUCGGCAUUCACUUCAGUUGUAGGCAAUAGUUACCAUUUAGUUCCGUUCUGGGUUCCAUUAGUUCAAUUAUGGGCAAUAGUGGCUAUUUAGUUCAGUUCAUGUUCAGUUCUGGGUUCCAUUAGUUCAAUUAUGGGCAAUAGUGGCCAUUUAGUUCAGUUCAUGUUUAGUUCUGGGUGCCAGCAAUAGUUGUCAUCUAUUUUAGGUCAAGUUUAGUUUUUGGUGCCAUUUAGUUUAGUUCAGUUAGGAGCAACAAUUGACAUUCAGUUCAGUUAAGAGUUCUGCAUAUGUACUUCUGUCGAAUUCUGCACUUGCACAAAGCUUACUGGAACACUCGUUUGGUCAUAACAUUCAAGCAAAAAAAAAAAUCCAUUACAUCUCUUUCCACACAUGUACAAGUAGUAACUGCAAUUCCUUUUCAGUCAUAAGGUCCAGUCAUAACAACAAUAGUUAGUGAUCACAAUUUUGCAUGUCAUACUAAAUUCAACUAACAUCAAUGACUUAGUUGGACGCUUUUUGCACUUUAAACAUUUUAGAAUGGUUGUUUACGAUCAGCAACUCAUUAGGCGGCGGUGGCAUAGGCGGUGGCAUAGUUGGACGCUUUGGAAUUAGCUGUUCGACUGAGAUGUGUUGGACAAAGAUAUUGCCAGUUCCUCUGAGUAUACUUGACUUGUAUAAUGUGAUUUUCAUUUAUUUAGAGUGAAUUACAUAAUAUAUAGAUAUGCAUUAUUAUAGCUUUAGUAACUGAUUUUCUGAUGUUUAGAAACAUGCGAGGUGUGUGUGUGUGGGGGGGAGGGGGUGUCUUUGCUUUACUUUGAUUUUAUAUACCUCAAUAUUUUUUUACAUAUGUUGCGAUCGCAAAAAUAUUAUCAACAAAAAAUAUUGAAAUACUCAAAAAUAAAAUUACUACUUCCAGAUAUUUGACUGAUUAGUCACCAAAAAAAGAAGAUCGAAAGCAUAUUUCUAAUUAAUAAGGUUGACAAGAUAUGCAUUGCUACGCAGUUAGUAACUAAUAUGUGAAUGGUAAUUGGGAGCCGGAUGCGCCCUUGACGUGGAGAUAGUCGGUACCACAAGAAUAAAUAAUUCACUGGUAAAGACGGUCGGUAUCGUUGCGUGUUGUGCAUGACCAGUGUUAAACCUCUAAAAUAUGUAUGCCCCCUUGGAACGCACGGGCAAUUAACAAGACCACUACUAUAGCAGAUUGUAUCUGGAAUUUUAAGAAGCCUUCUUCUAUUUGCAGGACACCAGACUCUAAACAUGGGUCAAGCUGGAGCGACUCAAGAUGCAGCUUGACUUCUGGUACACUAUAUGAGUGAUUCAAAUUUGCUCAAGGUGAACAAUAGCUGGCAUGGAGCCAACCGGAGGAAGGACUCUUGAUUCUAAAGUUUACAAUCCUCCCAACAACCAGUUCUUGCCACGGACACUGAAUGUUGUGACGUCAAUUUGGAAGCCACGGGAUGGAUCCCUUUCAGAGCGAUCUAGACGCCCUCGAUGCCUCGACAACUUCACGAGUGUCUGAAGUGUAAACUGACAUCAUACUUAUAACUGGUAGGAGGAGACAGGUAAGAUCAGUCACCAGUGAUGGAGUCAUGAGUUUGUUGACGUCGUGCUAAACGUUGGUGUAGGGCCAAAGGAGAAGACAUGGUGCAAAAUUCUUGAGCUUGACAUUAUGGUACAAUAUAAAUUUGAGUAUUCUUUCCUGUCAUAGCAGUCUAUAGCCUAUAUCACAUUGCAAAAUUCCAUGAACAAUUGGUCCACAUUAUUUGUUUGUUAUAUUGUUCAUGCCCAAGCAUGGAUGCAGCUGGAUGUGGGUGCCAGGGCCGCCACCAAGGAUGUAGGGGUCGCGCCACAAUGGGCGAGGAUGCAUUGGUCAUGCCGAAACUGACGAGGACACGUGAGCCGCACUCCAGCCUUAGUGUUUUUCCUAAUUUCUUUAGGUACGCGAGGUUGAUUUAAUAUUCACAUGUAUGCUGAAAUUAUGACACCAAAGAACCAGCAAUGGAGUUAUAUGAAAUUUCUCCCGAGAGCUAUACUACCAUUCUUUUUAGUAUUGACUAAUUCCCAUGAGUUGCCCCAAAAUUGUAAAUAUGAAUUUGGAUGAUUCAUUGGUCCUCAUUAAAAUAGCAGCAUGAAAUAA